UUGACACGUCUGCUCUCUUGUAGUUAAUUCCCCUGGUGAUUUUCUUGUGUACACUUUCGGUGCCUCUUAGAUGUUUGGUUGUCACUUUUCUUUGUUGCGUGAGCAUGAUGUGCUUCUUUCCGGUCUAGGUGGACAUAGCAUUUUUUUUUGAACCGCUUUGACCGCUCCCUCGAUUUCUUCCUCGAGCUCCUCUCUCCCCAUUAUCUCCUCAGCCCUGAGCUCCUCCCCAUUACUCCCAGCGGCAUCCUUGCCCCAGGGCCGCCGCCCUCCUCCCCUUCCCUGGCCACGUUCGGCGCUGUCGCCUCCUCUUCCCCCAUUUCCACACCACCGUGGAGCUCGGCAGCGCCCCUACGCGCGCGCUCGCGAAAUCCUAGGCACGCCCUGGGCUUGGUCGCCGGCAUCCCCGACCACCAUGACACCAUUGCGACGGCGCCCCUCCACCUGCCCCCUUCCUCCUCCUGAAUCAAUGGAUUUAGGACAUUAUAACCUCUUCAAAGAGUUAAUUGGAUUUCCGCAUGGAGUAGCUACUACUGCUGCCCUGAACAUAGCCAAACAGGGUAAUUUUCUCUGCAUUGACAUCCGACGAAACCUUCGUCCGGUGACUCUGUGCCGCUUCCACAUGGUGAAGUCUGAAGUGCCACCGAUCAGCUGCAAUGUCAUGUCUAGCAACAGCGGAGCACAUGACCUUUAAAUGUUUCUUUAUAAUGUUUGCACAGAUUGAUUAAACUGAGAUACUACAAUGCAGAUCCGUGGUUGAGACCACUUGCCAACCAAGUGAUCAGGUUUAGUACUUCAGUGCCUUCAAACCUCUUCAACUUUCUUUGGAUUGACACUUUUUUCCUUUCACUAUAGGGAUUGCUAAUGAGGCACUGUUUUUUUUUUCUUUACUGUAUCUUGGAUGUAAAAAUUGGGAGAAUCAUCGUAUUUCUGAUAUUGCAGCUAUUUAAUACAUUCAGAUUUGGUGUGUACAUAAGUACUAUGUUCAAAUCAGACUUAAGAACAAAAAAGGUUGUGAUAGAAGUUCACUAAUGACUUGCCCUAUGAUAAGAUACUGCAAGCGCAUGCUAAUUUACUGCCUAGCUAAGAAGACGAUCCACAUGGGGGUGCUUGAGAUCAUGCUACUGGCUGAGAAGGUGGGCUAGGUGGUUGGUCUGGGUCUGUAAUGUUAUAUAGGGUCUUCUAUUCUAUUUUUCUUUCAGGAAUAUGUACUAUAACUACUAUACUAAAGGUGAACAAACAUCUUUUUUCACAGAAUUUUGAAUUACUUUUUAGAUUAACUCUGAGCUAACACGUGUGUUUUAUGGUGAUUGAUUACUUCCUGUUUCUUUGCGUGUACCAUUUUGGUGCUCUCCAAGAAUUUGAGAUAGGUUCAGAUUUAUGCAUUGGGUCUUUUGGGGUGAGAUGCUCUGGGGUAUCAUCGGUAUGGCCAUAGCUGCCUUGAUCUAGGAUGGUGGUGGACCAUGGUGCGGUCGGCAUUUGAUGAGCUGCAGGAGCAGGUCACACACGUCCCCAGGUUCACUUCCUCCCUCGUCAGGCUUCGUCCGCUCCCGCUCGCCGGUGGUAAGCUUAGGCGACUCUCGGUCGUCCCUGCUCCGAUUCGUGGCCGAUCGUGCGUGA